AGCGAACGCUGGCGGCAGGCCUAACACAUGCAAGUCGAACGAACCCUUCGGGGUUAGUGGCGGACGGGUGAGUAACACGUGGGAACGUGCCUUUAGGUUCGGAAUAACUCAGGGGAACUUGUGCUAAUACCGAAUGUGCCCUUCGGGGGAAAGAUUUAUCGCCUUUAGAGCGGCCCGCGUCUGAUUAGCUAGUUGGUGAGGUAAUGGCUCACCAAGGCUACGAUCAGUAGCUGGUCUGAGAGGAUGACCAGCCACAUUGGGACUGAGACACGGCCCAAACUCCUACGGGAGGCAGCAGUGGGGAAUCUUGCGCAAUGGGCGAAAGCCUGACGCAGCCAUGCCGCGUGGAUGAUGAAGGUCUUAGGAUUGUAAAAUCCUUUCACCGGUGAAGAUAAUGACUGUAGCCGGAGAAGAAGCCCCGGCUAACUUCGUGCCAGCAGCCGCGGUAAGAC
rnacentral:rRNA from 1 species